GAUGAAGAACGCAGCAAAAUGCGAUAAGUAAUGUGAAUUGCAGAAUUCAGUGAAUCAUCGAAUCUUUGAACGCACAUUGCGCCCGCCAGUAUUCUGGCGGGCAUGUCUGUUCGAGCGUCAUUUCAACCCUCAAGCACAGCUUGGUGUUGGGACUCGCGUUAAUUCGCGUUCCCCAAAUUGAUUGGCGGUCACGUCGAGCUUCCAUAGCGUAGUAGUAAAACCCUCGUUACUGGUAAUCGUCGCGGCCACGCCGUUAAACCCCAACUUCUGAAUGUUGACCUCGGAUCAGGUAGGAAUACCCGCUGAACUUAAGCAUAUCAAUAACCGGAGGA
rnacentral:misc_RNA from 1 species